rnacentral:piRNA from 1 species
UGAAUCAGCGUCUGAUAUUUGGUAC